GGACGAACGCUGGCGGCGUGCUUAACACAUGCAAGUCGAGCGGUAAGGCCCUUCGGGGUACACGAGCGGCGAACGGGUGAGUAACACGUGGGUGAUCUGCCUCGCACUUCGGGAUAAGCCUGGGAAACUGGGUCUAAUACCGGAUAUGACCAUUGAUCGCAUGGUUGGUGGUGGAAAGAUUUAUCGGUGCGAGAUGGGCCCGCGGCCUAUCAGCUUGUUGGUGGGGUAAUGGCCUACCAAGGCGACGACGGGUAGCCGGCCUGAGAGGGCGACCGGCCACACUGGGACUGAGACACGGCCCAGACUCCUACGGGAGGCAGCAGUGGGGAAUAUUGCACAAUGGGCGAAAGCCUGAUGCAGCGACGCCGCGUGAGGGAUGACGGCCUUCGGGUUGUAAACCUCUUUCGACAGGGACGAAGCGCAAGUGACGGUACCUGUAGAAGAAGCACCGGCCAACUACGU
rnacentral:rRNA from 4 species